rnacentral:rRNA from 1 species
GUGAGGUAACGGCUCACCAAGGCGACGAUGCGUAGCCGACCUGAGAGGGUGAUCGGCCACACUGGGACUGAGACACGGCCCAGACUCCUACGGGAGGCAGCAGUAGGGAAUCUUCCGCAAUGGACGAAAGUCUGACGGAGCAACGCCGCGUGAGUGAUGAAGGUUUUCGGAUCGUAAAGCUCUGUUGUUAGGGAAGAACAAGUGCCGUUCAAAUAGGGCGGCACCUUGACGGUACCUAACCAGAAAGCCACGGCUAACUACGUGCCAGCAGCCGCGGUAAUACGUAGGUGGCAAGCGUUGUCCGGAAUUAUUGGGCGUAAAGGGCUCGCAGGCGGUUUCUUAAGUCUGAUGUGAAAGCCCCCGGCUCAACCGGGGAGGGUCAUUGGAAACUGGGGAACUUGAGUGCAGAAGAGGAGAGUGGAAUUCCACGUGUAGCGGUGAAAUGCGUAGAGAUGUGGAGGAACACCAGUGGCGAAGGCGACUCUCUGGUCUGUAACUGACGCUGAGGAGCGAAAGCGUGGGGAGCGAACAGGAUUA